rfam:Flavobacterium sp. LM5 Flavobacterium_sp_LM5_contig1, whole genome shotgun sequence.
AAUACAGAGGAAAAAUUUGAACUGAUUGCAACCUCUUCAUAAUGAACCAUUCAUUAUGAAUACUGAUACUUAUUUCGGUAUAAAAAAAAUGCUAAAGCAGGAACA